GGGAGGAGAAAGAAGGAAAGAGAGGAAAGAGAAAGAGAUCUGAUGGGAACCUUCCCCCACUACUAACUGAUCUUUUACAAUAGUGUCCUCUGGAUUGUUUAUCUAGCACAAAGUGACUCUGCAUUUGAGUACCCAGACUGGCCAUUGCAGGAUGCUGAUUCCUCAGGGAUGAGUUUGUCGCCAAUGAAAUGCCCACCCCGAACCUUUGGCCUAGUGGAGCAGUUCCCAGCAUGGUCAGCACUCCUCAAAGUCGCAUGGACACUGAAGACAGCGAGACACAUGAGCUGCCAGCCUGCAUCCUAAGCAUCAUCCCGCCAAACCGUUCUCAUCAAUUCUAGUGGCCACUAAUGGAGAAGGUGUUGCUGCUGUUUUGAGAGCCACAUUGGAGGAAUUGCUGCCACAGAGUCAAUGACAAAUAUUCUGUACAACGGGAAGCUGUCAGAAGAAUCCGUUGUACGAGGUGGUGAAGAACACCAAAUUUUGAAUACUCCCUCUCUCGAGAAAAGGGAAGAAAUAGAGUCACGUCCACCACUUGCAUCCUUUGUACCUCCUAUUGUUGCUUCAUGAAUAGACCAGAGGAAAGUACACUUGCGCCGAGGCCAAGCCAUUACCAUCUCUAAUGUUUCAACCAUUUCCAGACUUUAUAAUCUGGCCUAUCUCAUGGAUGGACAAUGAUGCCAGUGUCAGGCUGGUGAGUAAUAAAGGAGGAGCAUAUUUGUGUGUGUAGGUAGGAGAGAGUGAGAGAGAGGUUGAGAUAUCUACAAAGAGAUUUCCUGGGACUGUAAUUCAAGUUUAAAACCUGUACCUGGAGCUCAAAAAUGAGGCUUGGCUUCAACCAUAGAUACAGAUGCCAUCAGGGGAAAUGGGAGAUCCCAAAGAGAAGAGGUUAACAUAAGAGUCAGAUAAAUUUUAGGAAACAUCAGAAUUCAAGCUAUGAGUGCAGGAAGAACUGCCUGGAAGAGGAGACCAAGAUGGAGCUGCCUACAAGGAAGGAAAGCAAGGAGAGGGUGAAUCUUGGAACCCACAGGAGAAGAGAUAUUUGCAGAGUUACCGAGAGGCCAGCUGAGGAAAAGAUAUAAGAAUAUGAGAUCCCCAAAUCUGUCAGAAUCAGAGAGCUCAUUACCAGCUUUAAGCAAACUCGUUUCAAAUCGGACACUGUAGCAACUGGACAGGUGCGACUCAACAAAGGCAAAUCAGUAAUUCAGUCUUCACACACCUUAAUAAAGGAAAGAGCUUGAGGAAAUCCGUGGCACAAUGGCGCGUGAUUCAGAUAGCUUAUCAAGGGCUCAUGAAAUGCUGUACUUGUGACUUUCUUUGAAUAGAUGCUAUAAAUGCUAGACUCUCGGGAGAAAAAGAAGUGCUAGAAAUAUACCUAGUGAUCUCCGAGACAAAUGGAGCACACCAACUCUGUGACUGAUUUCGGCCUCAUUCCUAUUUCAAGGCAGAUGCCACUAAAUAUGGACCCAUUCACAGUCCACAAUGAACUCCUGUGAUCGUUCCUAGGGUCUCUGCGCUGUCAGUCUUCAAAGUGGCUUCAGAUCAUGCAUGACUUUUGACUGCAGAAAACUGGGAAAUAAACUCAUGGAUGAGUACACAUGAGAGAGCAUGGGUGCAUGCUUUACCGACGAAGACAGACCAGUCUGAGUGGGGUAUUACCCAAUCAGAGACAUGUGGAACAUACUGUCUGGGCUCACAUAGCAAUUCUGGAUCAUGAGGACUCCAGGACGAAGCAUACACUAAAGCAAGGGAAGAACGGAGAUUGACGUUACCAUAAGCCAAUGAGGUAACUUUACAGAACUUACCAGAAUCUCGCACAUUAUUGUUUGAUGUGAGCACUUUGCUAUUUUUUCCCUACUAAAUAGUGAGGUCCUUAAUGACAAUAACUUUGUCUUGUUUGUCCUUGUAUACUUACCCAUCCUUAGCACAUUUCUUUGCACAGUAAUACAUGUCAUCUUAAUGUUUGCUGUGUGAGUAAAUAAAUAUAAACUGUUAAAGACAUUUGAUAGAGCACAGUCUUCAAAGGACUGAUAUGCAAAAAUAGAUAAAGAAAGCAGUUAAGGAGAACCAGGAAAAAUAGGGAAUUAGUGAUGGGUGAAAUACAAUCAUAAAGAAAAAAAAUAAAAUUUGAUGAUAGGAAUUUCCUAUUUAGGAGACAUAUUAGUUCAAAGGAUUGGUAAUUUAAUACAGAGACUUUCACUUCUAAGUCACAG